AUACGGAAGGUCCGGGCGUUAUCCGGAUUUAUUGGGUUUAAAGGGAGCGCAGGCGGAGAUGCAAGCGUGACGUCAAAUUUCGGGGCUCAACCCCGUCUCGCGUCGCGAACUGCGUCCCUUGGUUGCGGGAAGGGGAGGCGGAACUCGUGGUGUAGCGGGGAAAUGCAUAGAUAUCACGAAGAACUCCGAUCGCGAAGGCAGCCUUCCGGCCCGUCAACGACGCUCAUGCUCGAAGGUGCGGGUAUCAAACAGGAUUAGAUACCCUGGUAGUCCGCACAGUAAACGAUGGACACCCGCGGUUUGGCCUAUAUGGCUGAGCCGCCAAGCGAAAGCGUUAAGUGUCCCACCUGGGGAGUACGCCGGCAACGGUGAAACUCAAAUGAAUUGACGGG
rnacentral:rRNA from 1 species